GCCCUGCAUGUCUAGGAGUCGGUGGAGUAGUUACCACCUGACGGGUAAGCCUUGUUGAGUAUUAGUAUACUCAGCCUUGCUUGUGGCUAUCUUUUUCAGGUUUGCUGUUGUUUUGGGUGUUAGUCUUACUUGGCCUACCCAGCUCCCUCCAGGUUGGACGGCCAAGUGGGAUCCCUCCUCGGAUGGCGAGGAUAGGGGUCAUUGAU
rnacentral:lncRNA from 1 species